rnacentral:tRNA from 1 species
AAGUGAGUAGUUUAAAGUAAAAAACGGUAGAUUGUGGUUCUAUAAAUAGAAUUAAUUGACUCUCAUUUG